AUUGAACGCUGGCGGCAGGCUUAACACAUGCAAGUCGAGCGGAGCGAGGGUGCUUGCACCUUAGCUUAGCGGCGGACGGGUGAGUAAUGCUUAGGAAUCUGCCUAUUAGUGGGGGACAACAUUCCGAAAGGAAUGCCAAUACCGCAUACGCCCUACGGGGGAAAGCAGGGGAUCUUCGGACCUUGCGCUAAUAGAUGAGCCUAAGUCGGAUUAGCUAGUUGGUGGGGUAAAGGCCUACCAAGGCGACGAUCUGUAGCGGGUCUGAGAGGAUGAUCCGCCACACUGGGACUGAGACACGGCCCAGACUCCUACGGGAGGUAGCAGUGGGGAAUAUUGGACAAUGGGCGGAAGCCUGAUCCAGCCAUGCCGCGUGUGUGAAGAAGGCCUUUUGGUUGUAAAGCACUUUAAGCGAGGAGGAGGCUACUUAGAUUAAUACUCUGGGAUAGUGGACGUUACUCGCAGAAUAAGCACCGGCUAACUCUGUGCCAGCAGCCGCCGUAAGAC
rnacentral:rRNA from 1 species